rnacentral:rRNA from 1 species
UGCUUCUCUUGAGAGCGGCGGACGGGUGAGUAAUGCCUAGGAAUCUGCCUGGUAGUGGGGGAUAACGUYCGGAAACGGACGCUAAUACCGCAUACGUCCUACGGGAGAAAGCAGGGGACCUUCGGGCCUUGCGCUAUCAGAUGAGCCUAGGUCGGAUUAGCUAGUUGGUGGGGUAAUGGCUCACCAAGGCGACGAUCCGUAACUGGUCUGAGAGGAUGAUCAGUCACACUGGAACUGAGACACGGUCCAGACUCCUACGGGAGGCAGCAGUGGGGAAUAUUGGACAAUGGGCGAAAGCCUGAUCCAGCCAUGCCGCGUGUGUGAAGAAGGUCUUCGGAUUGUAAA